AAAAUGGCUGAAUGUUCGCACGUGGGGGCCGGUCUUCUAAAGAAAUGGGACCCCACACUAAUGCCCAUGGGCAGUGCAUUGAAAUGUCUCUGAGCAAACCAUCAGCAAGCCAUCCAUUUUCUAGAAAGGAGGCCACAUUUCCACGGCAAACCAUUGAGACAGGAAACCCAUGUGGAUGCAAUGCUCAAGACUUGAAGGAGCAGUAAUUCAGAUCCAAGGAAGACGGUUGUGAUAAACACACCAAUAACAAACAAUACAAAUUGGAUUUCAGCUGUGGUGCCACAAUAGGCUUGUCUCCAUAAAUCAACAUCAGCAUGAGAUGGCAGCUCUGUCCUUGGUGGUAGCUUUGCUUAAUCUGACACUCCACUACUAUGGCAUGAGAAUCAUACUCUCUUCAGUGGAACC